AUAAAACCUUCAGCUAUCCAUC
rnacentral:miRNA from 1 species